CUACGGGCCGCACCAGUGGGGAAUCUUGCACAAUGGAGGAAACUCUGAUGCAGCGAUGCCGCGUGAGUGAAGAAGGCCCUUGGGUUGUAAAGCUCUUUCGUCGGGGAAGAAAAUGACUGUACCCGAAUAAGAAGGUCCGGCUAACUUCGUGCCAGCAGCCGCGGUAAUACGAAGGGACCUAGCGUAGUUCGGAAUUACUGGGCUUAAAGAGUUCGUAGGUGGUUGAAAAAGUUAGUGGUGAAAUCCCAGAGCUUAACUCUGGAACUGCCAUUAAAACUUUUCAGCUAGAGUAUGAUAGAGGAAAGCAGAAUUUCUAGUGUAGAGGUGAAAUUCGUAGAUAUUAGAAAGAAUACCAAUUGCGAAGGCAGCUUUCUGGAUCAUUACUGACACUGAGGAACGAAAGCAUGGGUAGCGAAGAGGAUUAGAUACCCCCGUAGUC
rnacentral:rRNA from 1 species